rnacentral:rRNA from 1 species
AAUGCAUGCAAGUCGAGCGAUGAGUCCCUCUUCGGGGGGUACAUCAGCGGCAGACGGGUGAGUAACACGUAGGUGAUCUACCCCAGAGACGGGGAUAACGGGUGGAAACAUCCGCUAAUACCGGAUAGACUUGUUCGGUCAAAGGGACAAGGAAAGGCUCCGGCGCUCUGGGAGGAGCCUGCGGCCCAUCAGCUAGUUGGCGGGGUAACGGCCCACCAAGGCAAAGACGGGUAGGGGGUGUGAGAGCAUGGCCCCCCACAAUGGGACUGGAACACGGCCCAUACUCCUACGGGAGGCAGCAGCAGGGAAUAUUGCACAAUGGACGGAAGUCUGAUGCAGCGACGCCGCGUGGAUGAAGAAGGCCCUCGGGUUGUAAAAUCCUUUACAGGGGGAAGAGGAAGGACGGUACCCCUGGAACAAGUGUCGGCUAACUACGUGCCAGCAGCCGCGGUAAGACGUAGGACACAAGCGUUAUCCGGAUUUACUGGGCGUAAAGCGUCUGCAGGCGGACAGGUAAGUUGGGCGUGAAAGCUCCGGGCCCAACCCGGAGAGGUCGUUCAAUACUGCGUGUCUAGAGGGUGUCAGAGGGGAGUGGAAUUUCCGGAGUAGCGGUAAAAUGCGCAGAGAUCGGAAAGAACACCAAUGGCGAAGGCAGCUCCCUGGGGCAACCCUGACGCUAAGAGACGAAAGCUAGGGGAGCGAACAGGAUUAGAGACCCUGGUAGUCCUAGCCCUAAACGAUGGAUGCUGGAUGUGG